rnacentral:rRNA from 1 species
AUGAACGCUGGCGGCGUGCCUCAUACAUGCAAGUCGCGCGAACGGACGAGAAGCUUGCUUUUCUGAUGUUAGCGGCGGACGGGUGAGUAACACGUGGAUAACCUACCUAUAAGACUGGGAUAACUUCGGGAAACCGGAGCUAAUACCGGAUAAUAUUUUGAACCGCAUGGUUCAAAAGUGAAAGACGGUCUUGCUGUCACUUAUAGAUGGAUCCGCGCUGCAUUAGCUAGUUGGUAAGGUAACGGCUUACCAAGGCAACGAUGCAUUGCCGACCUGAGAGGGUGAUCGGCCACACUGGAACUGAGACACGGUCCAGACUCCUACGGGAGGCAGCAGUAGGGAAUCUUCCGCAAUGGGCGAAAGCCUGACGGAGCAACGCCGCGUGAGUGAUGAAGGUCUUCGGAUCGUAAAACUCUGUUAUUAGGGAAGAACAUAUGUGUAAGUAACUGUGCACAUCUUGACGGUACCUAAUCAGAAAGCCACGGCUAACUACGUG